rnacentral:rRNA from 1 species
AAACCAGCACCUCAAGUGGUCAGGAGGAUUAUUGGGCCUAAAGCAUCCGUAGCCUGUUCUAUAAGUUUCCGGUUAAAUCCACUAGCUCAACUAGUGGGCUGCCGAAAAUACUGUAGAACUAGGGAGUGCGAGAGGUAGACGGUAUUCGGUAGGAAGGGGUAAAAUCCUUUGAUCUAUUGAGGACCACCUGUGGCGAAGGCGGUCUACCAGAACACGUUCGACGGUGAGGGAUGAAAGCUGGGGGAGCAAACCGGAUUAGAAACCCCUGUAGUCC